GAUGAACGCUGGCGGCGUGCCUAAUACAUGCAAGUCGAGCGAACAGACGAAGAUUUUUCUCCGCUGACGUUACCGGCGGACGGGUGAGUAACACGUGGAUAACCUACCUAUAAGGCUUAGAUAACUUCAGGAAACCGUAGCUAAUACCGGAUAAUAUAUUGAACCGCAUGGUUCAAUAGUGAAAUACGGUUUUUCGGUCACUUAUAGAUGUAUCCGCGCCGCAUUAGCUAGUUGGUAAGGUAACGGCUUACCAAGGCAACGAUGCGUAGCCGACCUGAGAGGGUGAUAGGCCACACUGGAACUGAGACACGGACCAGACUCCUACGGGACGCACCAGAAGGGAAUCUUCCGCAGUAGGCGAAAGCAUGACGGAGCAACGCCGAGUGAGUGAUGAAGGUCUUCGGAGCGUAAAACUCUGUUAUUAGGGAAGAACAAAUGUGUAAGUAAAUAUGCACGUCUUGACGGUACCUACUCAGAAAGCAACGGCUAACUACGUG
rnacentral:rRNA from 1 species